AUUGAACGCUGGCGGCAUGCCUUACACAUGCAAGUCGAACGGCAGCACGGGAGCAAUCUUGGUGGCGAGUGGCGAACGGGUGAGUAAUACAUCGGAACGUACCUGGUAGUGGGGGAUAGCCGGGCGAAAGCCGGAUUAAUACCGCAUACGACCUGAGGGUGAAAGCGGGGGAUCGCAAGACCUCGCGCUAUUGGAGAGGCCGAUGGCAGAUUAGGUAGUUGGUGGGGUAAAGGCCUACCAAGCCUACGAUCUGUAGCUGGUUUGAGAGGACGACCAGCCACACUGGGACUGAGACACGGCCCAGACUCCUACGGGAGGCAGCAGUGGGGAAUUUUGGACAAUGGGCGCAAGCCUGAUCCAGCCAUGCCGCGUGCGGGAAGAAGGCCUUCGGGUUGUAAACCGCUUUUGUCAGGGAAGAAAAGGUUCUGGUUAAUACCUGGGACUCAUGACGGUACCUGAAGAAUAAGCACCGGCUAACUACGUGCCAGCAGCCGCGGUAACAC
rnacentral:rRNA from 1 species